rnacentral:misc_RNA from 1 species
UCUCCGUUGGUGAACCAGCGGAGGGAUCAUUACCGAGUUAUCAACUCCCAAACCCUUGUGGACAUACACCACGUUGCUCCGGCGCGACCGCCCUGGCGCCCCCGGCGCCCCGUAACCAGGAGCCCGUCGGAGCACCCAAGCGCUUGUUUAAACCAUCGUGGCAUAUUCUGUGUGUGUCAAUAAAAAAGAAUCAAAACUUUCAACAACGGAUCUCUUGGCUCUG